UACAUCAGUUUCAGACAAAGGAAUACAAUUUCCAGGUUUCUCAGGAAAACGAGGAAGCCGAAGAGAAGUGGCCAUCUUCCCAGUUGACUCCCGAGCUCAACGUUUCCGAUGCAUCCGCUUCUCUAUUUCUCUCGAGUGCUUUCAAGUUCGUGACGCGUUUGCAGUUAAAUGAAUUUACCUACCCUCGAGUAGAAUAAGGUAGGAAAGGACAAGUAAGGACAAGGAUGUAUAAACGUACACACGUACCACCCAUUAUCGUUGACUUGAAAGGGUUAAGAAAGUACAAGAGAAAGAUGGAAGGAAGGAAUGAAGGAAGGAAGUGUAAAAUAUUUUCUAAACCCUUCGCAACAUUCUUGGUAAGCUUUGAGUUUAGCUGCGCUCAAGAAAAUCCGGCUUCCUUAUUUUUGUGUGUGCUAGGAAUAUUUAGGAUAUGGUAUGGCAAAGGAUCGUCGAAAGAUGGGCUAGAAAAAGGUAUCGAGUAACAUAUUAUAGAUUGUUUUAAAGAAACAUAUAGUGUAUUAUGAAAAGCCUUAAGAGAAA